UAAAUUGAGAGUUUGAUCCUGGCUCAGGACGAACGCUGGCGGCGUGCCUAACACAUGCAAGUCGAGCGGGAGACUUCGGUCUCCAGCGGCGGACGGGUGAGUAACACGUGGGUAACCUGCCUCAUAGAGGGGGAUAGCCUCCCGAAA
rnacentral:rRNA from 1 species